GACGAACGCUGGCGGCGUGCCUAAUACAUGCAAGUCGAACGCAGUUGGGACGGGUGAGUAACACGUGGGUAACCUCCCAUCAGAGGGGAUAACACUAGGAAACAGGUGCUAAACCGAUACUGAUGGAUGGACCCGCGGGGCAUUAGCUAGUUGGUGAGGUAACGGCUCACAAAGGCCACGAUGCAUAGCCGGCCUGAGAGGGUGAUCGGGCACACUGGGACUGAGACACGGCCCAGACUCCUACGGGAGGCAGCAGUGGGGAAUCUUCGGCAAUGGACGAAAGUCUGACCGAGCAACGCCGCGUGAGUGAAGAAGGUUUUCGGAUCGUAAAACACUGUUGUUAGAGAGGCGGUAUCUAACCAGGAAGCCACGGCUAACUACGUGCCAGCAGCCGCGGUAAUAC
rnacentral:rRNA from 1 species